rnacentral:rRNA from 1 species
AGCAGCCGCGGUAAUUCCAGCUCCAAUAGCGUAUAUUAAAGUUGUUGCAGUUAAAAAGCUCGUAGUUGAAUUUCGGGGUCAGUAGGUUGGUCGUGCCACUGGUAUGCACUGGCCUCACUGAUUCCUCCUUCUUGUAGUACCGUAAUGCCAUUAGUUUGGUGUUGCGGGGAAACAGGACUGUUACUUUGAAAAAAUUAGAGUGUUUAAAGCAGGCUAACGCUUGAAUACAUUAGCAUGGAAUAAUGAAAUAGGACGCUCGAUCCUAUUUUGUUGGUUUCUAGGAUUGACGUAAUGAUUAAUAGGGAUAGUUGGGGGCAUUAGUAUUCAAUUGUCAGAGGUGAAAUUCUUGGAUUUAUUGAAGACUAACUACUGUGAAAGCAUUUGCCAAGGAUGUUUUCAUUAAUCAAGAACGAAAGUUAGGGGAUCGAAGACGAUCAGAUACCGUCGUAGUCUUAACCAUAAACUAUGCCGACUAGGGAUCGGAUGAUGUUAAUUUUUUAAUGACUCA